CACUCCUGCGGGAGGCAGCAGUGGGGAAUUUUGGACAAUGGGCGAAAGCCUGAUCCAGCAAUGCCGCGUGAGUGAAGAAGGCCUUCGGGUUGUAAAGCUCUUUUGUCAGGGAAGAAACGGUGAGAGCUAAUAUCUUUUGCUAAUGACGGUACCUGAAGAAUAAGCACCGGCUAACUACGUGCCAGCAGCCGCGGUAAUACGUAGGGUGCAAGCGUUAAUCGGAAUUACUGGGCGUAAAGCGUGCGCAGGCGGUUUUGUAAGUCUGAUGUGAAAUCCCCGGGCUCAACCUGGGAAUUGCAUUGGAGACUGCAAGGCUAGAAUCUGGCAGAGGGGGGUAGAAUUCCACGUGUAGCAGUGAAAUGCGUAGAUAUGUGGAGGAACACCGAUGGCGAAGGCAGCCCCCUGGGUCAAGAUUGACGCUCAUGCACGAAAGCGUGGGGAGCAAACAGGAUUAGAAACCCGAGUAGCCC
rnacentral:rRNA from 1 species